rnacentral:rRNA from 1 species
AUUGAACGCUGGCGGCAGGCCUAACACAUGCAAGUCGAGCGGAUGAAGGGAGCUUGCUCCUGGAUUCAGCGGCGGACGGGUGAGUAAUGCCUAGGAAUCUGCCUGGUAGUGGGGGAUAACGUCCGGAAACGGGCGCUAAUACCGCAUACGUCCUGAGGGAGAAAGUGGGGGAUCUUCGGACCUCACGCUAUAAGAUGAGCCUAGGUCGGAUUAGCUAGUUGGUGGGGUAAAGGCCUACCAAGGCGACGAUCCGUAACUGGUCUGAGAGGAUGAUCAGUCACACUGGAACGGAGACACGGUCCAGACUCCUACGGGAGGCAGCAGUGGGGAAUAUUGGACAAUGGGCGAAAGCCUGAUCCAGCCAUGCCGCGUGUGUGAAGAAGGUCUUCGGAUUGUAAAGCACUUUAAGUUGGGAGGAAGGGCAGUAAGUUAAUACCUUGCUGUUUUGACGUUAACAACAGAAUAAGCACCGGCUAACUUCGUG